UACAGAAGGACUGUUGCUUAGCAAAACCUUGUUACGACUUUUACUUCCUCUAAAUGACCAAG
rnacentral:rRNA from 1 species